AAAGUCUGGCUGCUCUAAAGGGACACUUCAGUUUCUUCAGGACCUUUGAAGAGCAACUUUUUGGUCAUUCCUCUGGCAGAAUCCAACAAGAUGAAACUCACGUUCAUCCUGCUGGCCAUGCUGGCCUUCACACUCAUCACUCUGGAAUCAACCACAGAGGCGAUUGACCGUGUAAGAGGCUUCAGAGAGCCAAGACAAGCAGGGUGGAUGGCUGAACAAUUAGUGCAACGGAUGAAGAGUGCCAAGGAGGCUGCUGCUGCUCAAAAAACACACAAACAGGGGACCAAAUUCUGAAAUGUUAAAUACCUGUGUUGUCUCCUCCACCACAAAGAGGAACCUGCCUUCUAUCUGUGUUCUUGUAUCUCAGCUUCAGCCCAGGCUUCACUGAGACACUUUUCUACGUCUUUUAUUCUCUCUCCUGCUCUUCAUGUAACGAUGUUACUGAUGUUAGUGGGAGUUCUUCUUUCAUGAAAAAUAAAACACUAUCGAGCAUCA
rnacentral:lncRNA from 1 species